UAUGGGCCUUGUUUCAUUCAUAAUUAUAUGAUGACGUGGCAUGUUCUAUGGGCGUAGGCCUUCCAAAAGGUAACGGAGGCGUGCAAAGAUUUCCUCGGGCCAGACGGACAUUGGUCUUCGAGUGCAAAGGCAGAAGGGAGCCUGACUGCAAGACUCACCCGUCGAGCAGAGACGAAAGUCGGCCUUAGUGAUCCGACGGUGCCGAGUAGAAGGGCCGUCGCUCAAUGGAUAAAAGUUACUCUAAGGAUAACAGGCUGAUCUUUCCCAAGAGUCCACAUCGACAGGAAGGUUUGGCAACUCGAUGUCGGCUCUUCUUGCAUGCUGGGAUAUUUUUUUGGCAGAAUGACUCUUUUAGUAUAUUGGAUUAAAUAGAAAUGCAUGUUAGUUUUGACUAGUUGGGCCUAGCUGUC
rnacentral:ncRNA from 1 species